UACGUAGGGGGCAAGCGUUGUCCGGAAUUAUUGGGCGUAAAGAGCGCGUAGGCGGUCCGAUAAGUCGGCUGUGAAAGUCAAGGGCUCAACCCUUGAAAGCCGGCCGAUACUGUCGGACUAGAGUCCGGAAGAGGCAAGUGGAAUUUCCGGUGUAGCGGUGAAAUGCGUAGAUAUCGGAAGGAACACCAGUGGCGAAGGCGGCUCACUGGCUCGGUACUGACGCUGAGGCGCGAAAGCGUGGGGAGCAAACGGG
rnacentral:rRNA from 1 species